rnacentral:misc_RNA from 1 species
AACGCACCUUGCACCCCGUAGAUUACUGCGGGGUACGCCCGUUCGAGCGUCACGUUUACCUCGCCUCUUGGCGGAUCUGGGUGUUGCCGUCGUUGGCUCGCCUUAAAUGCAUUAGCUGGGACACAUGGUUGCGGCUGGCGUGAUAAUUGUCUCGCCUCAGCUCUCAUAAGUCCCGCUUCUAAUCGCACUCUUACGUGCAACACUUGACCUUUGACCUCGAAUCGGGUGGGACUACCCGCUGAACUUAA